rnacentral:lncRNA from 1 species
AAACACACCCUUGCAGAGGGACGAGCUUCCUAUUAAAUGAACAGAAUGGAUGAUGAUUUGGAUGAGCGACAAGAAAGAAACCUGAAGCCUUCAGUACCCAACAACAGAAGCCAACUGUGACAUCUCUUCAGUUAACAGCAUCCAUCAGAACGCACAAAAGAUGGAAGAUGAAUCCCUGGGAAGUCUGAUUCUGACCUCUGCUAAUCAGGAUGUAGGAAGAAUAGAGACAAAUCGCUCACUUGCACUUUGGCUCCUGGGUCUGUGGUUUGGUUCUUUAUAUUGCUGAAUUCUGCAUAGGCAGAUUUAACAACCCAUGGAUUUAAAUAUUUGGACAAAAAGAAUUACAUCUGUAUUAAACAGGUGCAGACUUCUUUUUUGUCAUUACUCCCCAGAUAAUCCAGUAUAACAAAGAUUUAUAGAGUAUUCAUUAUAACUACCUAGAAAUGACUUAAAGCACAUGAAAGAUGUGAACAGAUUAUAGGAAAACCAAUUCCCUGCCAUCUAAGAGAAAGACUGCUGCUGACAAUGGUUUCCUUAUAUGUUUCUGAACAUAUUCACACAGACAGCUAUGUAUUCCAUUUAACUGCAGCUCAGUAAUUAAGCCCAAGAAAUUCGAUAUGAAUACAAUGUUGUUUAGAAUAUAUACUCAAAGUUUGCUGAUUAUCUCAAUGUUUUUAACACAAGCUAAAGUUUUGCUCAGCUUUACUUAACAUGGAAAAGUAUAUAUUCUGCUCUUCUGUGUCAUUUAUAUUUUUGACAAGUAUAGGAAAAUUGAUUCUAAUCUGAUGACAUCAAACAGAAGACCUUGAGUUAAGAAUAAGCAGGCUUCAAAUCUUUAGGCACAAUUAGUUUCUUCAGAUUGUCACAGCUAGUGAUUUACAUUUUGUAAAACAUUCUUUUGUCUUUACUGAUAUACAGCUCAAUGGGAAACGAAUAAAUGAACUUAGGGCUUUGAGACACUCUGUUGUAAUUGGGGUCAAGUCUUUGAUGCAGUUAGCAAUCCGUGGUCUAUUACAAGACUCAGACCUCAGAUUUCAAUGCUUAGGCAGGUGAUCACCUCAAUACACGGCUACUAAGAAGAGACACACCAGAAAAUAAAACCUAGGGUACAAUACAAAGUUAAAAUUGUAUCAAGAAAUCAAUUUUUAUGAUUCAAAUAUUUUCUCAAACAUGCUUGUACCCUUAGAGAAUAAAAUUGCUGAUUCUAUAGAGUAACCUAAUUUUUAUGAGAUUUCCCCUUAGAGCUAAAAUCCCAGUUAUAAUGUAGAAAAGGAUAUUACUUAUUAAAAAUGUUCCAAUAUCAAAAGCACAGAAGGUGAGCUCUGUGUAUAGGCAGCACAUCUGUAUCUACAUCUAUAUCUACAUCUCUCUGCACCUUGUCAUUGAGUGUGCUCCUGUCGAACCCAAAUGCCGUUGCUGUCACGCCAUUGGAGCAAGGGUUUCCCCUUAAAGACUGAUUUUGAAACAAAAUGAAAGACAAUCAAGAAACCAAGAGGGUCAGCAGCACAGAGAGCUGAGACAGGUGUUUAGCCUUGGAACUCCUACAGGUUAACGGACCGGGAAGCAGGAACUGCUAAUAUUAAGGAUUACACGUAAGUUAUUUUUAUAUUUUUAUAGUAUCACUCAUCCUUUAAUGUAACUUGUUAUUCUAUGAGCCUUGAGACAGAGUCAUCUUAUUUGUAUUUAAUGUGAUUAGAACUGGGAACCCACUCCUAUCAUGGCAAUACUGAAUGCUAAAAGGUUUUCCAUGUAGUUUUCAAGCAUGCGUGCUGUUGUGAUGUUUUUAACAUUUCUAGGUUCUUUAGUUCAUUGCUCUAUCUUAAUCAUGCUAAUAAAUGGGUUGUAGUUCUGUUUAGUUUCAGAAAGUUGCUGCCUGAUUAUGAAGGUACUUAGAACACCGUGCUGCUCCAGCUGCUGGUACUAAUGUCAGGAACUGAGUGAUCAAAGUGUCUGUCAGAUUAUGAGAAAUGAAAUCCCUUUCAAUAAUUUGUGCAGAGUGCCAGAUCAAAAGAACGGAGGCAUUACAGCUCACAGCCGUCUCUCAGAGAGCAUUAUUAUUCAUUUGGGACCCAGACUUCAAGAAGAUGCCCCACACGGCACCUGCUUGUAGAAUGUGUAAUUUAACAGGAGACAGUGUUAUGAGAAAGAAAUUACAAAGUUGUACUGUAGCCCCAGGUAAUCUUAUUAAUCUUUUUGACCUUUCUUUUGCUAUCGGACUGGUUGUUUCUAAUAGAAAGAUACCAUUAUCAUUCUUUAUUGAAGUAGGAAGUAGGAAAAACACGAACAGCAAUGAGGUGGUUUUUAACGUGUGACACUAAUGGACAGUGUACCCAGGCAGGUGACACUGUGGUCACUCAAGUAGAUAAUUCAUGUGUUUACUUCAUUCCUGCCCUUCUCUUUCUAAUGGCAACAAAAUUCUAGAAUCUGACAGAGGAGUCUUAUUUAGCAGAUUUAGUGACUUUGAGGAAAAAAUACAAGUCAUUAGUAAAGUAGUCUUUGUUUGAAAGGAAGACUUUAUAGUCAUUAAUUUCCUUGAGAGGUCAGAGAGAUGGUGUGACAUUCCUGGAGGGCUUCAGGUGCAUCACAGAGGGGUCCGCAUGUUCCUCUAAGAUGGUCUUCUCCUUUGGGGGAGUGUCACUUCUCUGCUGCAGCAUGUAGCAGAUUUCCCAUCGCGUCUGAAAACUGAAGCUUUGUGAAGACGUUCUGGGCAGCAGAGCUCCUAAUGCCGCUUUCCUGGAAGGGGUUCGUGGUUCAUGAAUUAAGAGUGAGAAAAGGGACAGAGGGGCAACAACUGCUUUAAUAAGUGUUCUUAAAUCUCUGUUAGUUUGAAGAUCUCUUUGGUAAUGUUUUAAAAUGUGUCCUGUUACUGUUCUCGUUCUCUUCCCUCCUACCCAUUUGCUAUAUGACAACACACUGGACAUUACCAGCAAGAAUGUACCUAAGGGCACACAUGGGUACAGAGAUGGGGCUGAAGGGCAUCGCAUGGUACUUCCUGGAGAAUGGCAUGGGUGAAUGAGGUUAGGAGUCUAUCUAACCACAUGUUGCUUCGUAGGCAAGGGGCUGGCUAUGUAGAGUUUUGGGUAGGUCCCCCCCCC